CGCGCGCAGGCUUCCACGCGGAACGGUCGCGUGGAGGCGUCAUGCCGCCCUGAACAGCGCUUAACGCACCCGUCCGAUCCGUGUGACAUACCUACGCACACCACAUUCUGAUAAUAAUGUUGUACAGGGUAAGAAAUAAAUUACAUAAUAUAUUUACUAACUAAAUUAACAAUCAGAAAUUAAUUUAUUAAAUUAAAAAAU
rnacentral:misc_RNA from 1 species